UACGAAGGGGGCUAGCGUUGCUCGGAAUUACUGGGCGUAAAGGGCGCGUAGGCGGACAGUUUAGUCAGAGGUAAAAGCCCAGGGCUCAACCUUGGAACUGCCUUUGAUACUGGCUGUCUUGAGUUCGGGAGAGGUGAGUGGAGUGCCGAGUGUAGAGGUGAAAUUCGUAGAUAUUCGGCGGAACACCAGUGGCGAAGGCGACUCACUGGCCCGAUACUGACGCUGAGGCGCGAAAGCGUGGGGAGCAAACAGG
rnacentral:rRNA from 1 species